rnacentral:rRNA from 1 species
AAGAGACAGCAGCAGCCGCGGUAAUACGGAGGGGGCUAGCGUUGUUCGGAAUUACUGGGCGUAAAGCGCAUGUAGGCGGCUUGGUAAGUUAGAGGUGAAAGCCUGGAGCUCAACUCCAGAAUUGCCUUUAAGACUGCCGAGCUAGCAGGUGAGAGAGGUAAGUGGAAUUCCGAGUGUAGAGGUGAAAUUCGUAGAUAUUCGGAAGAACACCAGUGGCGAAGGCGGCUUACUGGCUCAUACUGGACGCUGAGGUGCGAAAGCGUGGGGAGCAAACAGGAUUAGAUACCCCUGUAGUCCCUGUCUCUUAUAC